rnacentral:rRNA from 1 species
CCUACGGGGGGCUGCAGUAACGAAUCUUCCGCAAUGCACGAAAGUGUGACGGAGCGACGCCGCGUGGAGGACGAAGUUCUUCGGAAUGUAAACUCCUGUCAGGGGAAAGAAAGUUCUGAUCUACCCCAGAGGAAGGGGCGGCUAACUCUGUGCCAGCAGCCGCGGUAAUACAGAGGCCCCAAGCGUUAGGCGGAAUCACUGGGCUUAAAGCGUGUGUAGGCGGACUUCUAAGUACCUUGUGAAAUCCCACGGCUUAACCGUGGAACUGCUUGGUAUACUGGUUGUCUUGAGCCACUUAGGGGUUACCGGAACAAAUGGUGGAGCGGUGAAAUGCGUAGAUAUCAUUUGGAACGCCAAUGGUGAAAACAGGUAACUGGGAGUGUGCUGACGCUGAGACACGAAAGCCAGGGGAGCAAACGGGAUUAGAUACCCUAGUANUC